rnacentral:lncRNA from 1 species
AUGCAUUCCACUGAGGCCACAGAAAGGAAAAGGAUUGAGACACCACGACAAACGGAAGCCACCUUCUCUGACCAGAGGACUCCACUUCCAUCCUCGACGAGGCCAUCUCCCUGGGCCCCGGGCAGCUCUCCUGUCGGAAUCUCACCUUCUCAUCAGCUCUUACUGGCACCUGGGGAGGGGUUAGAACCUGCCUGUGGUGCUGCUGAGGACAAAGCAAGCAUCCAGAUUGCUGACGGAAAUAGAGAGACCCUCUGCCCACCCCACGGCCCACACCUCUUCCCUUCUGGAGUCUGGAGAUCAUCAUGGGCCCUCGAACUGGGACUGCCUGGCCUGAUACUGCUACGGAAGGGCUCAUCUGAGAGGUGUCCCACCCUUGAGUUCUUCAAAGGAGUGGGAGAGAAACACCGAGGUGCUCUUUUCCCACCUCCUGGAACAUCACGUCAAAGGCCCACGCCUGGCAGCCGCCCCCUCCUCGUUGUCCAUCUAGCAGGGAAGGGACAGGAUGGAAGAACACUGAACUGGGACUCAGGGACCAGGUCCCCAGAGUGAUCGUGUCUCCGCAAGCGAUCUUGGGGUUUUUCACCCAACCAGGAAAAAGGCAGGCCUUGCAGCCUGGCCCCAUAGUCUUCUCAGUGUCUCAGACAGUGGACCCGGCGCAUCAAAGACUCCUCGCUUCCGCCGGGCUUCCUCCUCGAGCCGCAGCUGGGCUAACUCGGCCUUCGCCAUGGUGACUAUCGUUCCACAAAAGGAGGUCUGUUAGUAGGAGGCAAGCAGGCUCUCGGGACCCCCCAGGCUUGCCUUGAAAGGAUGUGGGAGGGAGGCAGGGUCUCGGGGGGGAAGGGAAGAGCCAGUGUGAUGCGCUACCCCAGCCCAAGGGGAAGAACAGAGCGCAGCGCGUUCCCCAGGCAGGGCCGGAGGAAAGUCUCAGGUUAACGUCUUGGGAGAACCAAGGCACAGAGGAGGUGUGAAAUGUCCAGGAUAAAUAGAACCGCAUGGGGAGGGAGAAAAGCCAGCUCCGUCCUCUCUUAAAAACAGCCGCCAUCGGCACCAAAAAUAUAUUAAUAUCUGUACAUGUGUCAUCUUUAAAAAAAGGAAAUAAAACUUCCUUGGCACCUUGUAGUGGAUUUCCU